rnacentral:rRNA from 1 species
UGGGGAAUUUUGCACAAUGGGGGAAACCCUGAUGCAGCGACGCCGCGUGAUUUAGAAGGCCUUCGGGUUGUAAAAAUCUUUUCUAUGGGAAGAAAAUGACAGUACCAUAGGAAUAAGGACCGGCUAAUUACGUGCCAGCAGCCGCGGUAAUACGUAAGGUCCGAGCGUUGUCCGGAAUCAUUGGGCGUAAAGGGUACGUAGGCGGGUAAGCAAGUUAGAAGUGAAAUCCUAUAGCUCAACUAUAGUAAGCUUUUAAAACUGCGCAACUUGAGGUAUGGAAGGGAAAGUGGAAUUCCUAGUGUAGCGGUGAAAUGCGCAGAUAUUAGGAGGAAUACCGGUGGCGAAGGCGACUUUCUGGCCAUAACCUGACGCUGAGGUACGAAAGCGUGGGUAGCAAACAGG